UGCAAGUUCAGAAGCAGGGUCCAGCUUGCAGAGCUGGUAUCCAAGGAAGAAGGAAGCCAAAGAAAACAGCAUCCCCUUUCUCCAUCACUCCCAAGAGUUCUUUGAGAAAGGGAGAGGGGCUCAAAGUCAUGAAGAGUCCAUCUUCAUACUCAACAACUCAGGAAAGAAAACCCAGUUAAAGAUUUCCAAAUCCCGAGGCCUGUGUAUUGUGUCCAAGCCCAGGCGAACUGGGAAUAAAAAGGCCCCCACCCUUGCCAGGAAGCAGGACAGACAUGCUAGGCCUGGCACAUUCCUUCCUCCACAGUCUGCUAUAGUCCAGAGAGAGAACA
rnacentral:lncRNA from 1 species